UACAGAGGCCCCAAGCAUUACCCGGAAUCCCUGGGCGUAAAGGGUGUGUAGGCGGUCGUAUUAGUCUUUCGUGAAAGCUCUCGGACCCAAUCCGGGAAACGCGGGAGAAACGGUACGGCUACGAGGACGUAAGAGGUACAGGGAACUCAUAGUGUAGGGGUGAAAUCCGUUGAUAUUAUGGGGAACACCAAAUGCGAAGGCACUGUACGGGUACGCUCCUGACGCUGAAACACGAAAGCGUGGGAAUCGAACGGG
rnacentral:rRNA from 1 species